UCCGGGGAAAUUUGGCCUCUGAGGAGGCUAAGGGGCGCCACGGAGGGUCGUCCGCCAGCUGAUGCGGCAGCCUUCUCCAGUCUCAGGCUUCGCGGAAGUGAAAACAAGCCAAGAACAAAACCCGUACAAAUCCCCAAGUCCAAACAGCUCCAGUCACAUUCAAGAAAAGCAAAGGUAAUUUAUUACAGAGAUCCAGCUGGGCUUUGGAGUGAAAUCUGGUGGCUCUGCAGAGGGUGACAAAGGCAGAAAUGGAGCUGUCUUUAAACAAAACAGAAGGAAGGGCAGAGAGACCUCUAUAUGCCUGCCCUCCCUGCCACACACUGGGAGCAUCGCUCAGGGUCUGGGAGUCAACUCAGCAGCCUCUGCUGACGUGUCCCCACCACCAGCUCAUGGGGAAGCUGGCCUCCCACACAGCAGCUUAGUCCCAGAUCAGCGGUUCCCAGUGAGCGGUAAAAAAACAAAAAACAGCAAGAAAUGGCUUUCCAAGUCCUCUUUCAUGGAGACGAACAGAAAUGGCAAAGACUAUUUUCAUCAUUACUGCUGUAAAACGUUCUGAUGUUCUAGGGAGAUAAAAGCCCCAAUCAAAAAGUACAGUAUCUGCUAUUGAAAAAUUGCAUCUCAGAAGCGGCGCCUCUUUCUGACAGCAUCUGCCAAGACUUCCGAUGAGGCUGAUGGAAACCUGUUCCAUUUUCAUGUUGUAUAAUAAGUAGAUGGAAGCCUUGCACAUCUGUUCAGGCAAGAUAAUGAUGAUAUUAUUACUAGAAGCCUUGUGCAGCAAAGAGAAUCUAUUUUUUUCUCUUUCCUACCCCCAGCCUGAAUCCAGCCUCUCUUUCUCUUACUUCUCGUGUUUACUUUCUAGCUCACACUCUUCCUCUUCUCUCUUCAUUUCUUUCCUCACCUCAGUGCCCCACCCAGCUUACUGAAACCAAGGUGAUAAAGCCAAGAAUUCUUCUCCUCUCAGAAGGAGGAGCUGCUGAGGAGGUACUGGGGCCAGGGGCUGGCCGAGCUCAGGGGGACAGGGGUCUCUGGGUCUCUCCUCAGAGCCCUGAUGCCUCCUACGGCGAACGACCCUCUUCAGCCCAGUCAGAGGAGCCUCUGGGCUUACCCCGUGCCCAGCCUCAUCAGCAAAGAAUCAAGGGAGACAGCAAUGGGACCAGAUAAUUCCUGCCAAAGAGACAACAGAUAGAAAGGGCUUAAUGUAUUUCACGUCCAGGGAUAGUUUACAUCAUAACUGGACAUUCUCUGGAUACAUAAUUGAUUCAUGAAGAAUUGACAUUUUUGAGUUGGAAUAUCAUUGCAAAGAAUCAAAGUGUUGGGAUGCAUAUCAGAGUUGGGGGGGAGGCUUCCUUGUUCUUCACAAAUCAUUCGUUCAUUCAUUUUUUUUUUUUUUUGUCUUUUGUUGUUGUUGUUAUUGUUGUUGU